rnacentral:rRNA from 1 species
ACACCACUCUCUGGAUAGUACAGUUACUUGGAUACUGCGGUAAUUCUGGAGCUAAUACAUGCAUAAAGCCCCAACUCUCGAAGGGGCGCUUUUAUUAUAUCAAAACCAAACGGCUUCGGCUGUACUCUUGGUGAUUCUGAAUAACUUUGGGCUGAUCGCAUAGCCUUGCGCUGGCGACAUAUCCUUCAAAUGUGUGCCCUAUCAACUGUCGACUGUGGCAUAGACGCCCACAGUGGUUUUGACGGGUAACGGGGAAUCAGGGUUCGAUUCCGGAGAGGGAGCCUUAAAAACGGCUACCACAUCUAAGGAAGGCAGCAGGCACGCAAAUUACCCAAUGACCCAAGGUCGAGGUAGUGACAAAAAAUAACGAUAGCGGUCUCAUCCGAGGUACGCUAAUUGGAAUGAGUACACUUUAAAACCUUCCCCGAGGAUCUUUGGAGGGCCCAGUCUAAGU